rnacentral:rRNA from 1 species
GACGAACGCUGGCGGCGUGCUUAACACAUGCAAGUCGAACGGAAAGGCCCUGCUUUUGUGGGGUGCUCGAGUGGCGAACGGGUGAGUAAUACGUGAGUAACCCGCCCCUGACUUUGGGAUAACUUCAGGAAGCUGGGGUUACUACUGGAUAGGAGCUCUUGAUGCAUGGUGGGGGUUGGAAAGUUCCGGGGGUUGGGGAUGGACUCGGGGUUUAUCGGCUUGUUGGGGGGGUAGUGGCUUACCAAGGCUUUGAUGGUUAGCCGGCCUGGGGGGGGGCCCGGCCCCAUUGGGACGGGGAUCCGGCCCAGCCUCCUACGGGAGGCAGCGGUGGGAAAUAUUGCACAAGGGGCGGAGCCCGAAGGCGGCAAGGCCGCGGGCGGGAUGACGGCCUUCGGUUUGUAAACCGCUUCCGCCUGUGACGAGGCGGGAGUGACGGUAAUGGGUGAAGAAGCACCGGCUAACUACGUG